UACGUAGGGGGCAAGCGUUGUCCGGAUUUAUUGGGCGUAAAGAGCGUGUAGGCGGCUAGGUAGGUCCGUUGUGAAAACUCGAGGCUCAACCUCGAGACGCCGAUGGAAACCAUCUGGCUAGAGUCCGGAGAGGAGAGUGGAAUUCCGUGGAUGUAGCGGUGAAAUGCGCAGAUAUCAGGAAGAACACCCGUGGCGAAAGCGGCUCUCUGGAACGGUACUGACGCUGAGACGCGAAAGCGUGGGGAGCGAAC
rnacentral:rRNA from 1 species